rnacentral:rRNA from 1 species
GACAGAGGCCUCAAGCGUUUAGGCGGAAUCACUGGGCUUAAAGCGUGUGUAGGCGGAUGCCUAAGUACCUUGUGAAAUCCCACGGCUCAACCGUGGAACUGCUGGGUAUACUGGGGUGUCUUGGGCCCAUUCAGGGGGCGACUGGAACGAAGCGGUGGAGCGGUGAAAUGCGUAGAUAUCGCUUGGAACGCCGAAGGUGAAAACAGGUCGCUGGGGAUGUGCCGACGCUGAGACACGAAAGCCCAGGGGAGCAAACGGG